ACCAUCUCAGCACAGUCCAUUGAGGCACCAUAUCUGAUCUGAGUCCUGUGCAGUGCCUAGGAAGAGCAAGACAUGGAGAGUUGGAUUCACCAAAUCAAACAAGGUUCAGUCACGCUGCCCCACCCAUGCGGAGAAUGAAGGCGAUAACGUGGCUGUUUUCCACUCCGCCUGUCUGCGUGGUUCCAUGGUGACCUCUGAGCAGACAGCGGCACAAAGACACCCCGCGGCUCGAUGCGAGAGGUGGGCACAGCCAGCAGCACAGGGCACUGUUCUACCGUGGCUUUGUGCAGGACUACUUGUGCCCAGAAAACAAGAAGUUAGGGUGAUGGGGCUCCAGCCACUCUCAGAGAGCAUGUACAGUAUACUCAUGGAUAUGGAGGGCACAUGCCCAAAUCCCUUCUCCUCAUGGCACAACACAAACAUCUCUAGCAGCGCAUUUCCCUAACCCCCAGGCUACAAGAUACUUGGGAUAAGGGUUUUCCAGGAGCAGGGAAGGGCACCCAGUCUCCCCACAUCUAGCUGGAUCUCACACCAGUCCCUUGGAUCCACGGAGGAAAGGAACAGCAACAAGGCUUUAUUCCAAGUGCUUGGCUGGGUCAGCACCAGAGACCCCACAGGCUCCAUCCCUCAUGAUCUGGCUCAUUGUUCCCUAAAUUAAUUGAUGCUGGUCCUUCUCUCUUGGUGGGUCAGGUAAUAGCUGGGCUCUGCUUGCCUGAGUCACAGCCACUCCCAUAUAGUGGCUGCACUCCCCACCUGCACAUCUCUUGCUAGUCGACAGCAGAUUGCCACAACUUAGAAAAUGCAUGUAAGGGACUGAAUUUUUAAGGAAAAUCAACACUGUCUGGGUGUAUGGAAAUCCAUGGGUGUUAUUCAUAGCCUCUCACCAUCUUUAUGCAAAUGUUGCAUGGAAAACAUGACAGCCAGAACCUCUUGGGGUUUGUCCAUGUACGACAGUCAUUUAAAUUAAAAAAAAAAAAAAUGUAAAAAUUGGGCCCAGUUCCCUCAGCUUAUUGCUUCAGGAUCAGACUUUCUGGAAUUCUGUGAGAUCUUUCAGGAUCAAAACAGCCUAACAAAGGUAGGGUGCUGUUACCAUCAUGUCUUCAGUUGUCUUAUUUUCCCCGUAGGGAGAAGUAAUUAGGGAUGCAGUUUGUGUCUGGGGGCAGCAUAUUCUGCAGAAAUGCUGCUUAUUACUGCGUUGCAUUUCAUCUGCAGAGGGGAAAAGCGAUGAGAAUAUGCCUGGAGGAGCAGAAAUGUGGUAAUAUGAAUCUAAUUCUACUCUGCCUAGGAGAACCUCAUGCAGACAAGGACUUGAUAAAAGAGUCAACACUGAAUAAAAAUUCCCAAUUACAGCCCUAUCA
rnacentral:lncRNA from 1 species